UUAGCAUAAGUUGUUGGUGCACAUAGGUGAGCCUAGUUGUUUGUAGGUUUUUUGUUUGACAUAUUAAACGUUAGUUUUAUUCCGCAUUUGUUCAAGCCUAAACCUUAACUAUUUUAAAGUGCCUAUUCACCCCCCCCCCUAGGCGACAUCCACGUCCUUUUCAAAAAGGAAGGAAGGAAGAAGAAGAAGAAGAAGAAGAAGAAGAAGAAGAAGAAGAAGAAGAAAAGGAAGGAAGAAGAAGAAGAAGAAAAGG
rnacentral:lncRNA from 1 species